rnacentral:ncRNA from 12 species
UUGAGUCGGGUCUGUGGUUGCAAGUCGAAGCCAGUCGCAGGCAAAACGAUCCACAUAAGCGGAACAAAGCUUCCGUGAGCAUGGUGCGGCUUAGAUGUAAGUCCUGUCGGGCGACCGAGAGGGGCAGUAGUGGGCAGCGUAAAGCUUAGUAGCGAACCCUCCAACAGGCGAGUGUGGGGGCAAAGACCAGGUCAGCCGAUCCGA